AUUGAACGCUGGCGGCAGGCCUAACACAUGCAAGUCGAGCGGAUGAAGGCAGCUUGCUCCUGGAUUCAGCGGCGGACGGGUGAGUAAUGCCUAGGAAUCUGCCUGGUAGUGGGGGAUAACGUCCGGAAACGGGCGCUAAUACCGCCUACGUCCUGAGGGAGCAAGUGGGGGAUCUUCGGACCUCACGCUAUCAGAUGAGCCUAGGUCGGAUUAGCUAGUUGGUGGGGUAAAGGCCUACCAAGGCGACGAUCCGUAACUGGUCGGAGAGGAUGAUCAGUCACACUGGAACUGAGACACGGUCCAGACUCCUACGGGAGGCAGCAGUGGGGAAUAUUGGACAAUGGGCGAAAGCCUGAUCCAGCCAUGCCGCGUGUGUGAAGAAGGUCUUCGGAUUGUAAAGCACUUUAAGUUGGGAGGAAGGGCAGUAAGUUAAUACCUUGCUGUUUUGACGUUACCAACAGAAUAAGCACCGGCUAACUUCGUG
rnacentral:rRNA from 1 species